rnacentral:rRNA from 1 species
UGUUACAAUGGGUGAUACAGAGGGCCGGCCGCUGGCAACAUCGGUCCAAUCCUUAAAGUCAUCCUCAGUUCGGACUGGGGUCUGCAACCCGACCCCACGAAGCUGGAUUCGCUAGUAAUCGCGCAUCAGCCAUGGCGCGGUGAAUACGUUCCCGGGCCUUGUACACACCGCCCGUCAAGCCAUGAAAGCCGGGGGGCGCCUGAAGUCCGUGACCGCGAGGGUCGGCCUAGGGUGAAACCGGUGAUUGGGGCUAAGUCGUAACAAGGUACC